rnacentral:rRNA from 1 species
AACGAACGCUGGCGGCAGGCUUAACACAUGCAAGUCGAGCGCCCCGCAAGGGGAGCGGCCGACGGGUGAGUAACGCGUGGGAAUCUACCCAUCUCUACGGAAUAACGCAUGGAAACGUGUGCUAAUACCGUAUCCGUCCUUCGGGAGAAAGAUUUAUCGGAGAUGGAUGAGCCCGAGUUGGAUUAGCUAGUUGGUGGGGUAAAGUCCUACCAAGGCGACGAUCCAUAGCUGGUCUGAGAGGAUGAUCAGCCACAAUGGGACUGAGACACGGCCCUGACUCCUACGGGAGGCAGCAGUGGGGAGUAUUGGACAAUGGGCGCAAGCCUGAUCCGGCCAUGCCGCGUGAGUGAUGAAGGCCCUAGGGUUGUAAAGCUCUUUCACCGGUGAAGAUAAUGACGGUAACCGGAGAAGAAGCCCCGGCUAACUUCGUGCCAGCAGCCGCCGCAGUAA